rnacentral:rRNA from 1 species
UACGGAGGGUGCAAGCGUUAUCCGGAUUCACUGGGUUUAAAGGGUGCGUAGGCGGGUAUUUAAGUCAGUGGUGAAAUCCUAGAGCUUAACUCUAGAACUGCCAUUGAUACUAUUUAUCUUGAAUAUUGUGGAGGUAAGCGGAAUAUGUCAUGUAGCGGUGAAAUGCUUAGAUAUGACAUAGAACACCUAUUGCGAAGGCAGCUUACUACGCAUAUAUUGACGCUGAGGCACGAAAGCGUGGGGAUCAAACAGGAUUAGAUACCCUAGUAGUCCACGCCCUAAACGAUGGAUACUCGACAUACGCGAUACACCGUGUGUGUCUGAGCGAAAGCAUUAAGUAUCCCACCUGGGAAGUACGACCGCAAGGUUGAAACUCAAAGG